rnacentral:rRNA from 1 species
AUCUGCCUACGGGACGCAGCAGUGAGGAAUAUUGGUCAAUGGACGAGAGUCUGAACCAGCCAAGUAGCGCGAAGGAUGACUGCCCUAUGGGUUGUAAACUUCUUUUAUAUGGGAAUAAAACAGGGUAUGCACACCCUCUUGUAUGUACCAUAUGAAUAAGGAUCGGCUAACUCCGUGCCAGCGGCCGCGGUAAUACGGAGGAUCCGAGCGUUAUCCGGAUUUAUUGGGUUUAAAGGGAGCGUAGGUGGAUUGUUAAGUCAGUUGUGAAAGUUUGCGGCUCAACCGUAAAAUUGCAGUUGAAACUG